rnacentral:tRNA from 1 species
GCCUUCGUGGUGUAGUGGUCAGCCCGCUCGACCCGUAAACUAGAGGUCCGUGGUUCGAUUCCCGGCGAAGGCG